AAGUAUUGCAUUCUACAAGACACUUACAGAACAUAAGAAACAUAGGACCACAGUCAGUGCUGAACAAAGCUCCAGAAAGGAUAAUGGCAGGUUCAGUGUGUAGGCUUUAUCAUGCAGUUUUUGAAGCAUUUAGUUGCAGCAUAUCUUGUCUACAAACGGUUUAAUUAACUGUUUGUGUUACAACACAAAGGAGGUCAAUGCCAGAUCAGCAGUCCCCUGGACCUACAGUUCAGACAGAAAUUACAAGGUUUAGAUAUAUUAUUUGUAUUUUUUUUUUUUUAUCUUCCCAGGGCUUUUCCAAAGCUUAAGACAAUACAUGGAGGCUGAUUUCUUCACAAAGCAUCCGGUAUUUUGGGAACAGGUAAUUGAAUGAACACUGAUGCAAAUCAAACAAAUGAGACGUGGCCCUAAGGAAACACCAAUGUGGACAGUUUUGCUCCAACAGCUAGACGCAGUGCUCCUGCUUUUCCCAAAAAGAAUCAAUGGAAUUUACUCAAGAGUUGCUGGUCUGCGGAGAAGAAUUCUGAUUCUGAAUAUCCACUUGCUCAAGUGUGCUACACUUCUGGAUUCCGCUGACAGUUUAUUGAAUCUGGUAAUCUCUGGGGAGAAAAAAAAAACUUUAUUUUUACUUUAAUUUUCUAAGUAUAAUGUCUGUGAUUUAAAAUGUUCCUUUUACAGCAUCGACUGCUGAGGUCCAAAGCCUGCUGAAGGUCUGGACAGGGUGAGUUCCUAUAUUAUUGGACACUUUGUGCAUGUUGUAGUUACGGAAUGCUCAAUAUCUCCCAUUCUCUGUCACAGCAUUUGAGGUGGUCUUGAUUGGAACAUGGCAGACAGUUGAAUGAGUCCUCUUGCCUGUAGGACGGAAAGCAUCCCCCACAUUGCGGACCAGCCCAUCUGAAGUGUAGGUAGUAUACAGUCAGAAAAGGAGAUGGAGAAGACCAUCCCUUUGGCAACUUUCAACAGGCCUGGAACUCAACGCAAGACAGUUACCUGGGAUGUACAUGGCUGCUCCACUUCACAGGGAACAACUACAGCACCACUUUGUGACCAGACAAGUUGCUGUGGGACACAUCCAAACCUGCUGCUCUCCUGAUCGUGGGCAGGGAAUGGGAAUGGGCAGGAAAGCAGGAAGGCACACUACUACAUGGCAUAAUCCUGCAGUACACUUUUUUUUCACUGUGUAAAAAUGAAUGAAGAUGCUUCAUGUACAAAUCUGUUUUAAACAUUUGCAUUUUAAACUGUGUAUGUUUAUUUUUACUUAUUUUUUGACAAACAUUAGUUUCAAAGUGAUAAAAAAAAUAAUAGUGUCAAAACACAUACCUUAAUGAUUAUGCCAAAAAUAGCAUGACGCAGCCACAUCAGAGAAAGCUUUGACAAGGCAGUUGGUUGUACUGCUGACCUAAGAACCUCAAGACUCCAGGGAUCAAGGGGGCAUUCCAAGUGCAAGCAGUGUGGUUCUUGGACGGUCAAUCUAGAAUGUUUCAAGUCAAUGGCAUCAAUCUGUAUUCCCUAAGUGUACAGAGUUCAGUAAUAGUGUUAAUUGUGUACACUUGUAAUCACAAAGACAAUCAAACAAUGUUACUGAUCACUUCUGAGAUUUCUGGUUUGUUGACAAUUCUGCAUGGGACUGAAGUACUACAGCAGAUUUAGGUUAAUGUUUUGUUCAUUUUGAAUUGGAUUACUAUCCCAGUCGUAUGCAAACCUUGGCAGGUCAUCUUUCAGUCAUGGCAGGAAUGUAUAGUGAACACAGAUGUCUAAUGUUGAGAAGUCAUCCUCUUUCAAAGUGUGAAGAACAUUGUAGUACGGUCAUCUACACAUCAUGCCACAGACAUUCUAUUUUGCAGGAAAGAAAAUGAUUAACAGAUGUAUUACUUAACAGUGCACCAUACAUCAUUUACCAGAAGUUUACUACAGGCAUAAGUUUGCUUUUCUUGAUAAUUACAUUACUUUAGACUGUUCUUAAACUGCAUUCAUUAGAAUUAUCAUUGCAGAAAUUAAGACAGUAAUAUGACCCAGUGCCAUAAAAUGUUCAUCAGCUCAAAUUCUGAUUGUGGACACCUGACUGAUAUAAAGCUUCUACACACAGUUCCAAAUAUAGUGAACACUUCUGGAGAAAUUUCCAUAUUCUUCUCACCCUGGAAGUGGGUAUAGUAACAUUUACUUAUGGUGGUGACAAAACCAUAGACCUCUGGAGUUGUGCCUUCAUUUUGUAGUUGGCACUAUGUUGUUUAUGCCCACAUGUGGCACUUCAGGUCUAACCAUAACUUUAGAUAUCAGAAAUGAAACAGGUUUAAUACAAAAAAAUCAUGUGUAGUAAAUAAAUGUUUU
rnacentral:lncRNA from 1 species